AGAACGAACGCUGGCGGCAUGCCUAACACAUGCAAGUCGAACGAGACCUUCGGGUCUAGUGGCGCACGGGUGCGUAACGCGUGGGAAUCUGCCCUUGGGUUCGGGAUAACAGUUGGAAACGACUGCUAAUACCGGAUGAUGUCUUCGGACCAAAGACUUAUCGCCCAGGGAUGAGCCCGCGUAGGAUUAGCUUGUUGGUGAGGUAAGAGCUCACCAAGGCGACGAUCCUUAGCUGGUCUGAGAGGAUGAUCAGCCACACUGGGACUGAGACACGGCCCAGACUCCUACGGGAGGCAGCAGUGGGGAAUAUUGGACAAUGGGCGAAAGCCUGAUCCAGCAAUGCCGCGUGAGUGAUGAAGGCCUUAGGUUGUAAAGCUCUUUUACCCGGGAUGAUAAUGACAGUACCGGAGAAUAAGCCCGGCUAACUCCGCGCCAGCAGCCGC
rnacentral:rRNA from 1 species